AUUGAACGCUGGCGGCAGGCCUAACACAUGCAAGUCGAACGAGUGGCGGACGGGUGAGUAAUGUCUGGGAAACUGCCCGAUGGAGGGGGAUAACUACUGGAAACGGUAGCUAAUACCGCAUACCAUCGGAUGUGCCCAGAUGGGAUUAGCUAGUAGGUGGGGUAACGGCUAACAUAGGCGACGAUCCCUAGCUGGUCUGAGAGGAUGACCAGCCACACUGGAACUGUGACACGGUCCCGACUCCUGCGGUAGGCAGAAGUGGGGAAGAUUGCACAAUGGGCGCAAGCCUGAUGCAGCAAUGCCGCGUGUAUGAAGAAGGACUUCGGGUUGUAAAGUUCUUUCAGCGGGGAGGCGUUACUCGCAGAAGAAGCACCGGCUAACUCCGUGCCAGCAGCCGCGGUAAUUC
rnacentral:rRNA from 1 species